GACAGCAAUAUGAAGGUCAGGCUGAAGACCUUACCGGAUUAGCUGAGAGGUGGUGCAUGGCCGUCGUCAGUUCGUACUGUGAAGCAUCCUGUUAAGUCAGGCAACGAGCGAGACCCACGUCCACAGUUGCCAGCAUACCCUCCGGGGUGAUGGGUACACUGUGGAGACCGCCGCUGCUAAAGCGGAGGAAGGAAUGGGCAACGGUAGGUCAGUAUGCCCCGAAUCUCCCGGGCUACACGCGGGCUACAAUGGUUGGUACAAUGGGCAUCUACCCCGAAAGGGGAAGGAAAUCUCUUAAAGCCAAUCGUAGUUCGGAUUGAGGGCUGCAACUCGCCCUCAUGAAGCUGGAAUCCGUAGUAAUCGCGUUUCAACAGAACGCGGUGAAUACGUCCCUGCUCCUU
rnacentral:rRNA from 1 species